CAGCCGCCGCGGGAAAACGAAGGGUGCAAGCGUUAAUCGGAAUUACUGGGCGUAAAGCGUGCGCAGGCGGUUGUGCAAGACAGAUGUGAAAUCCCCGAGCUUAACUUGGGAACUGCAUUUGUGACUGCACGGCUAGAAUGUGUCAGAGGGGGGUAGAAUUCCACGUGUAGCAGUGAAAUGCGUAGAUAUGUGGAGGAAUACCGAUGGCGAAGGCAGCCCCCUGGGAUAACACUGACGCUCAUGCACGAAAGCGUGGGUAGCAAACAGGAUUAGAUACCCCCGUAGUCCCUGUCUCUUAUAC
rnacentral:rRNA from 1 species